CUAUUCGGUUAUGGUUGCUAUCUGAAAUGAACAGCCGGUUGUUGAGGAUGUCGACCUCCAGCUUACCAGGAAAUUUCAAAGGGGAUGUCAGCAAGCGAAGAUCAUUCUCUUUUUCCAACCGCAAGGGAAUAGGUCUGCUAUCCAAUAAGGGGGGGGGGGGGGGGUGAAUAGGGAGAGGGGACCUACUAUUCGGUUAUGGUUGCUAUCUGAAAUGAACAGCCGGUUGUUGAGGAUGUCGACCUCCAGCUUACCAGGAAAUUUCAAAGGGGAUGUCAGCAAGCGAAGAUCAUUCUCUUUUUCCAACCGCAAGGGAAUAGGUCUGCUAUCCAAUAAUUUCUUUCUACCAUAGAAGAGAAGAGCUGCUUCGAUCAAAUUGUCAAGAUCCUUGGAAAAAAUCACACAAAUUAUUCGAAACAAUUUUUCAGUUCUUGACCACAUGAUAAGAAUUUUAGUAAUUUCAAGCUCUGUAAGUAAGAUGCAAUAGGCCAUUGACAAUGGGAAGAAAGAAGGAAAUUUUUCUUCCAAAAAGCACAAAAAUG
rnacentral:lncRNA from 1 species